GAUGAAGAACGUAGCGAAAUGCGAUACGUAAUGUGAAUUGCAAAUUCAGUGAAUCAUCGAGUCUUUGAACGCACAUUGCGCCCCCUGGUAUUCCGGGGGGCAUGCCUGUCCGAGCGUCAUUGCUGCCCUCAAGCACGGCUUGUGUGUUGGGCUCCGUCCUCCGAUUCCGGGGGACGGGCCCGAAAGGCAGCGGCGGCACCGCGUCCGGUCCUCGAGCGUAUGGGGCUUUGUCACCCGCUCUGUAGGCCCGGCCGGCGCUUGCCGAUCAACCCAAAUUUUUAUCCAGGUUGACCUCGGAUCAGGUAGGGAUACCCGCUGAACUUAAGCAUAUCAAUAAGCGGAGGA
rnacentral:misc_RNA from 1 species